rnacentral:rRNA from 1 species
CCUACGGGUGGCAGCAGUGGGGAAUAUUGGACAAUGGGCGAAAGCCUGAUCCAGCCAUGCCGCGUGUGUGAAGAAGGCCUUCGGGUUGUAAAGCACUUUCAGUGGGGAAGAAAGCCUUGGGGCUAAUACCCUCGAGGAAGGACAUCACCCACAGAAGAAGCACCGGCUAACUCCGUGCCAGCAGCCGCGGUAAUACGGAGGGUGCGAGCGUUAAUCGGAAUUACUGGGCGUAAAGCGCGCGUAGGCGGUUUGAUAAGCCGGUUGUGAAAGCCCCGGGCUCAACCUGGGAACGGCAUCCGGAACUGUCAGGCUAGAGUGCAGGAGAGGAAGGUAGAAUUCCCGGUGUAGCGGUGAAAUGCGUAGAGAUCGGGAGGAAUACCAGUGGCGAAGGCGGCCUUCUGGACUGACACUGACGCUGAGGUGCGAAAGCGUGGGUAGCAAACAGGAUUAGAUACCCUAGUAGUC